rnacentral:rRNA from 1 species
UAGGGAAUCUUCCACAAUGGGCGCAAGCCUGAUGGAGCAACACCGCGUGAGUGAAGAAGGUCUUCGGAUCGAAAACUCUGUUGUUAGAGAAGAACACGAGUGAGAGUAACUGUUCAUUCGAUGACGGUAUCUAACCAGCAAGUCACGGCUAACUACGUGCCAG